CAAGGGAGGAAGCGCAAGUGACGGUACCUGCAGAAGAAGCACCGGCUAACUACGUGCCAGCAGCCGCGGUAAUACGUAGGGUGCGAGCGUUAUCCGGAAUUAUUGGGCGUAAAGAGCUCGUAGGCGGUUUGUCGCGUCUGUUGUGAAAGUCCGGGGCUUAACCCCGGAUGUGCGGUGGGUACGGGCAGACUAGAGUGCAGUAGGGGAGACUGGAAUUCCUGGUGUAGCGGUGGAAUGCGCAGAUAUCAGGAGGAACACCGAUGGCGAAGGCAGGUCUCUGGGCUGUAACUGACGCUGAGGAGCGAAAGCAUGGGGAGCGAACAGGAUUAGAUACCCUGGUAGUCCAUGCCGUAAACGUUGGGCACUAGGUGUGGGGACCAUUCCACGGUUUCCGCGCCGCAGCUAACGCAUUAAGUGCCCCGCCUGGGGAGUACGGCCGCAAGGCUAAAACUCAAAGGAAUUGACGGGGGCCCGCACAAGCGGCGGAGCAUGCGGAUUAAUUCGAUGCAACGCGAAGAACCUUACCAAGGCUUGACAUGUUCUCGAUCGCCCUAGAGAUACUGCUUCCCCUUUGGGGUGGGUUCACAGGUGGUGCAUGGUUGUCGUCAGCUCGUGUCGUGAGAUGUUGGGUUAAGUCCCGCAACGAGCGCAACCCUCGUUCCAUGUUGCCAGCACGUCAUGGUGGGGACUCAUGGGAGACUGCCGGGGUCAACUCGGAGGAAGGU
rnacentral:rRNA from 1 species